rnacentral:rRNA from 1 species
AGUGAACGCUGGCGGUAGGCCUAACACAUGCAAGUCGAACGGCAGCACAGUAAGAGCUUGCUCUUACGGGUGGCGAGUGGCGGACGGGUGAGGAAUACAUCGGAAUCUACUUUUUCGUGGGGGAUAACGUAGGGAAACUUACGCUAAUACCGCAUACGACCUACGGGUGAAAGCAGGGGAUCUUCGGACCUUGCGCGAUUGAAUGAGCCGAUGUCGGAUUAGCUAGUUGGCGGGGUAAAGGCCCACCAAGGCGACGAUCCGUAGCUGGUCUGAGAGGAUGAUCAGCCACACUGGAACUGAGACACGGUCCAGACUCCUACGGGAGGCAGCAGUGGGGAAUAUUGGACAAUGGGCGCAAGCCUGAUCCAGCCAUACCGCGUGGGUGAAGAAGGCCUUCGGGUUGUAAAGCCAUUUUGUUGGGAAAGAAAAGCAGCAGGUUAAUACCCCGCUGUUCUGACGGUACCCAAAGAAUAAGCACCGGCGAACUUCGU